GUCGGACGGGAUCCAUCGGAGAGCUUGCUCGAAGAUGGUGAGAGUGGCGCACGGGUGCGUAACGCGUGAGCAACCUACCUCUAUCAGGGGGAUAGCCUCUCGAAAGAGAGAUUAACACCGCAUAAUAUCAACAGUUCGCAUGUUCGGUUGAUUAAAUAUUUAUAGGAUAGAGAUGGGCUCGCGUGACAUUAGCUAGUUGGUAGGGUAACGGCCUACCAAGGCGACGAUGUCUAGGGGCUCUGAGAGGAGAAUCCCCCACACUGGUACUGAGACACGGACCAGACUCCUACGGGAGGCAGCAGUAAGGAAUAUUGGUCAAUGGGCGGAAGCCUGAACCAGCCAUGCCGCGUGCAGGAUGACUGCCCUAUGGGUUGUAAACUGCUUUUGUCCAGGAAUAAACCUAAAUACGUGUAUUUAGCUGAAUGUACUGGAAGAAUAAGGAUCGGCUAACUCCGUGCCAGCAGCCGCGGUAAUACGGAGGAUCCGAGCGUUAUCCGGAUUUAUUGGGUUUAAAGGGUGCGUAGGCGGCCUAUUAAGUCAGGGGUGAAAUACGGUGGCUCAACCAUCGCAGUGCCUUUGAUACUGAUGGGCUUGAAUCCAUUUGAAGUGGGCGGAAUAAGACAAGUAGCGGUGAAAUGCAUAGAUAUGUCUUAGAACUCCGAUUGCGAAGGCAGCUCACUAAGCUGGUAUUGACGCUGAUGCACGAAAGCGUGGGGAUCGAACAGGAUUAGAUACCCUGGUAGUCCACGCCCUAAACGAUGAUAACUCGAUGUUGGCGAUAGACAGCCAGCGUCCCAGCGAAAGCGUUAAGUUAUCCACCUGGGGAGUACGCCCGCAAGGGUGAAACUCAAAGGAAUUGACGGGGGCCCGCACAAGCGGAGGAGCAUGUGGUUUAAUUCGAUGAUACGCGAGGAACCUUACCCGGGCUUGAAAGUUAGUGAAGAGUGCAGAGACGCACUCGUCCUUCGGGACACGAAACUAGGUGCUGCAUGGCUGUCGUCAGCUCGUGCCGUGAGGUGUUGGGUUAAGUCCCGCAACGAGCGCAACCCCUAUGUUUAGUUGCCAGCAUGUCAUGGUGGGGACUCUAAACAGACUGCCUGUGCAAACAGAGAGGAAGGUGGGGACGACGUCAAGUCAUCAUGGCCCUUACGUCCGGGGCUACACACGUGCUACAAUGGAUGGUACAGCGGGCAGCUACAUAGCAAUAUGAUGCUAAUCUCUAAAAGCCAUUCACAGUUCGGAUUGGGG
rnacentral:rRNA from 1 species